rnacentral:rRNA from 1 species
UGGGGAAUUUUGGACAAUGGGCGAAAGCCUGAUCCAGCAAUGCCGCGUGUGUGAAGAAGGCCUUCGGGUUGUAAAGCACUUUUGUCCGGAAAGAAAUCCUUGGCUCUAAUACAGUCGGGGGAUGACGGUACCGGAAGAAUAAGCAUCGGCUAACUACGUGCCAGCAGCCGCGGUAAUACGUAGGGUGCAAGCGUUAAUCGGAAUUACUGGGCGUAAAGCGUGCGCAGGCGGUUUGCUAAGACCGAUGUGAAAUCCCCGGGCUCAACCUGGGAACUGCAUUGGUGACUGGCAGGCUAGAGUAUGGCAGAGGGGGGUAGAAUUCCACGUGUAGCAGUGAAAUGCGUAGAGAUGUGGAGGAAUACCGAUGGCGAAGGCAGCCCCCUGGGCCAAUACUGACGCUCAUGCACGAAAGCGUGGGGAGCAAACAGGAUUAGAUACCCUGGUAGUCCACGCCCUAAACGAUGUCAACUAGUUGUUGGGGAUUCAUUUCCUUAGUAACGUAGCUAACGCGUGAAGUUGACCGCCUGGGGAGUACGGUCGCAAGAUUAAAACUCAAAGGAAUUGACGGGG